CCUAUUUGGCCUUUGUGGCUACGCUCGGGGGGCCUUUGGUCCCCGUCUGCACCCUUGUCUUUGCGCACUCAUGUUUCCUCGGUGGGCUUGCCUGCCGCUAGGACAACCUAAACUCUUGAAUUUUCAAUCAGCGUCUGAUAACAAUAAUAUUUA
rnacentral:misc_RNA from 1 species